rnacentral:rRNA from 1 species
CAUGUCCUUUAUGAAUAUUAUUUAAGGUUUAAUCUGCUCAAUGAUUAAUUAAAUUGCCGCGGUAAAUUGACCGUGCAAAGGUAGCAUAAUAAUUAGUUUUUUUAUUGAAAACUUGGAUGAAUGAUUGGACGAGAAAUUUACUGUCUCUUAUUUAUUUUUUAUUGAAUUUAACUUUUAAGUUAAAAGGCUUAAAUUUUGAUUAAAGACGAGAAGACCCUAUAGAGUUUUAUUAUUAAUUUUUAACUUGUUUUUUAGAAUUUAAUUUGAGUUUAAUAUUUAAUAAUUUGAUUGGGGUGAUUGGAAGAUUUAAUAAACUCUUUUAUUUGAUUAUCAUUGAUUUAUGAAUAUAGAAUCUAUUUAUAGUAAAUUUAAAUUAAAUUACCUUAGGGAUAACAGCGUAAUUUCUUUUUAUAGUUCUUAUAGAAAAUGAAGUUUGCGACCUCGAUGUUGGAUUAAAGUUUAUUUUGGGUGGAGAUUCUCAAUAUAUUAAGUCUGUUCGACUUUUAAAAUUUUACAUGAUCUGAGU